GCGGGAUGAGCUCAAAUUUAAAAUCUGGCUGGUUUACUAGUCCGAAUUGUAGUUUAAAGAAGCGUUUUCGGUGGCAGUCUCGGUAUAAAUCCUUUGGAAUAGGGUAUCAUAGAGGGUGAGAAUCCCGUCUUUGACUGAGAAUUUGCUACUAUGUGAUACGUUUUCAAAGAGUCGAGUUGUUUGGGAAUGCAGCUCAAAAUGGGUGGUAAAUUUCAUCUAAAGCUAAAUAUUGGCGAGAGACCGAUAGCGAACAAGUACCGUGAGGGAAAGAUGAAAAGAACUUUGAAAAGAGAGUUAAACAGUGCGUGAAAUUGUUGAAAGGGAAACGCUUGAAACCAGUCAUGUGGUUGGAAAAUCAGUGUUCAAUUGGGGGGAAUGGGGGAGGUGUGGACCGCAAGGCUGCUCUUUUCUAUAUCUCUUUUGUUGGGCAUGCACUUUUUCUGCCGCAGGUCAACAUCAGUUUCUUUUGCUGGACAAAACUCUUGAGAAGGUAGCAGCUUAGGCUGUGUUAUAGCUCUGGAGCGAUACAGUGAAGGGGACUGAGGUUUUCGCAGCAUGUGCUCUCGGGCAAGGCCAAUUGGGUGCUAUGGGAUCGUUCGGGGUACAAUACAUGUAUUUUGCUUCGUGUCCUUUCUAUACUCGUUCAAUUGAGCU
rnacentral:rRNA from 2 species